UCUCUGGUGGUCUAGUGGUUAGGAUGCAGUGCUUUAACCACUGUGGCCCAGGGUUCAAUCCGUGGUCUGGGAA
rnacentral:tRNA from 1 species